rnacentral:rRNA from 1 species
GUGAGGAAUAUUGCGCAAUGGAGGCAACUCUGACGCAGCCAUGCCGCGUGCAGGAAGAAGGCGCUACGCGUUGUAAACUGCUUUUAACCGGGAAGAAACCCCAGGACGUGUCCUGGGUUGACGGUACCGGAGGAAUAAGCACCGGCUAACUUCGUGCCAGCAGCCGCGGUAAUACGAAGGGUGCAAGCGUUAUCCGGAUUCAUUGGGUUUAAAGGGUGCGUAGGCGGAGCGUUAAGUCAGUGGUGAAAUCCUGCAGCGUAACUGUAGACUUGCCAUUGAUACUGGCGCUCUUGAGUGCGCUUGAAGUGGGCGGAAUGUGCCGUGUAGCGGUGAAAUGCUUAGAUAUGGCACAGAACACCAAUUGCGAAGGCAGCUCACUAAGGCGAUACUGACGCUGAGGCACGAAAGCGUGGGGAUCGAACAGGAUUAGAUACCCCUGUAGUCC